CCUACGGGGGGCAGCAGUGAGGAAUAUUGCGCAAUGGGGGAAACCCUGACGCAGCGACGCCGCGUGGAUGAUGAAGGCCCUUGGGUCGUAAAAUCCUGUCAGGUGGAAAGAAUGGUAUAUAUGCUAAUAUCGUAUAUAUUUGACGGUACCACCAAAGGAAGCACCGGCUAACUCCGUGCCAGCAGCCGCGGUAAUACGGAGGGUGCAAGCGUUGUUCGGAAUUACUGGGCGUAAAGCGCGCGUAGGCGGUGUGUCAAGUCAGAUGUGAAAGCCCUCGGCUCAACCGGGGACGUGCAUUUGAAACUGGCAGACUUGAGUAUUGGAGGGGGUGGUGGAAUUCCCGGUGUAGAGGUGAAAUUCGUAGAUAUCGGGAGGAAUACCGGUGGCGAAGGCGACCACCUGGCCAAAUACUGACGCUGAGGUGCGAAAGCGUGGGGAGCAAACAGGAUUAGAUACCCCAGUANUC
rnacentral:rRNA from 1 species